rnacentral:rRNA from 1 species
GACGAACGCUGGCGGCGUGCUUAACACAUGCAAGUCGAACGAAGAGCGAUGGACGCUUGCUUCUAUCAAUCUUAGUGGCGACCGGGUGAGUAACGCGUAAUCAACCUGCCCUUCAGAAGGGGACAACAGUUGGAAACGACUGCUAAUACCGCAUACGAUCUAACCUCGGCAUCGAGGAAAGAUGAAAGGUGGCCUCUAUGUAUAAGCUAUCACUGACGGAGGGGAUUGCGUCUGAUUAGCUAGUUGGAGGGGUAACGGCCCACCAAGGCGAUGAUCAGUAGCCGGUCUGAGAGGAUGAACGGCCACAUUGGGACUGAGACACGGCCCAGACUCCUACGGGAGGCAGCAGUGGGGAAUCUUCCGCAAUGGACGAAAGUCUGACGGAGCAACGCCGCGUGAGUGAUGACGGCCUUCGGGUUGUAAAGCUCUGUUAAUCGGGACGAAAGGCCUUCUUGCGAAUAGUGAGAAGGAUUGACGGUACCGGAAUAGAAAGCCACGGCUAACUACGUG